UCGGUAGAGCAUCAGACUUUUAAUCUGAGGGUCCAGGGUUCAAGUCCCUGUUCGGGCGCUUGGUACUUUUGGUUUUUUUAUGUCACUCCCUUCACAUCAGCAAAAAUUGUACAAAUUUAAGGGUAGCCCAAGCUAAUUAAUAUAUGCUUUGUGUUGUUACUCUUCACUGGUGAGGACUUGGACAAGAUUCCACCGACUCGGUACUCAGAGCUCCCUCCUCGAGGAAGAACGAAGUUUUGCCGACACCUUCCCUUCUUAAGACCUCCCAAAAUGAAUCCUCCCAAAUCAAGAUUUGUACACCUAAGGAAACCAAACUGUAGCAUUGAGAGUAAAAGUUAGCAGGUCAACUGGAUGCUGACCAAGGAUUCCGGAUGCAGAGGCAGGAGGAUCUCUCUGAGGAUCCCAUAGAGUCACCUUUGUCCCCGUGACAGCUGGAAGUAAUUAGAAGAAAACAAGGACACCUUUCCCUACAGUUGGCUUAGAUGGUGUUUUUAUUUGUUUGUUUGUUUUUUCCAAGGAUAUAUAUAUAUAAUUGCCAACUGCUUAGGGUUGAUUUUAAGUUGUGUAGGGUUGGGAAUGGAAGAUGACAUUCAGACUCAGGAAUCUCAAACUCACAAAAAUCUGCCUGCUUCUGACUCCA